rnacentral:ribozyme from 1 species
UUCAUUACUGGUACGAUAUGGAUUCGAAGCCUCUCGAAAGAAAAUAAAUGCUCUUCAAAACCUAUUGCUACUCAACACUUCCCCGAUGUAUAGAGCGGUAAUAUGUCUCUCCAAAUAUCAUGCGGUAACAUGGGGAAACGCAACCUCUUUGUAGGACGGGUGAUAUGGCUAAAUUAUAAGGA